CUACCUGCAGUCGAGCGGAACGAUGGUAGCUUGCUACCAGGCGUCGAGCGGCGGACGGGUGAGUAAUACUUAGGAAUCUACCUAGUAGUGGGGGAUAGCUCGGGGAAACUCGAAUUAAUACCGCAUACGACCUACGGGAGAAAGGGGGCAGUUUACUGCUCUCGCUAUUAGAUGAGCCUAAGUCGGAUUAGCUAGAUGGUGGGGUAAAGGCCUACCAUGGCGACGAUCUGUAGCUGGUCUGAGAGGAUGAUCAGCCACACCGGGACUGAGACACGGCCCGGACUCCUACGGGAGGCAGCAGUGGGGAAUAUUGGACAAUGGGGGAAACCCUGAUCCAGCCAUGCCGCGUGUGUGAAGAAGGCCUUUUGGUUGUAAAGCACUUUAAGCAGUGAAGAAGACUCCGUGGUUAAUACCCACGGACGAUGACAUUAGCUGCAGAAUAAGCACCGGCUAACUCUGUGCCAGCAGCCGCGGUAAUACAGAGGGUGCAAGCGUUAAUCGGAAUUACUGGGCGUAAAGGGAGCGUAGGUGGCUCGAUAAGUCAGAUGUGAAAUCCCCGGGGCUCAACCUGGGAACUGCAUCUGAUACUGUUGAGCUAGAGUAUGUGAGAGGAAGGUAGAAUUCCAGGUGUAGCGGUGAAAUGCGUAGAGAUCUGGAGGAAUACCGAUGGCGAAGGCAGCCUUCUGGCAUAAUACUGACACUGAGGCUCGAAAGCGUGGGUAGCAAACAGGAUUAGAUACCCUGGUAGUCCACGCCGUAAACGAUGUCUACUAAGUCGUUGGGUCCCUUGAGGACUUAGUGACGCAGCUAACGCAAUAAGUAGACCGCCUGGGGGAGUACGGCCGCAAGGUUAAAACUCAAAUGAAUUGACGGGGGCCCGCACAAGCGGUGGAGCAUGUGGUUUAAUUCGAUGCAACGCGAAGAACCUUACCUGGUCUUGACAUAUCUAGAAUCCUGCAGAGAUGCGGGAGUGCCUUCGGGAAUUAGAAUACAGGUGCUGCAUGGCUGUCGUCAGCUCGUGUCGUGAGAUGUUGGGUUAAGUCCCGCAACGAGCGCAACCCUUGUCCUUAGUUACCAGCGGGUUAAGCCGGGAACUCUAAGGAUACUGCCAGUGACAAACUGGAGGAAGGCGGGGACGACGUCAAGUCAUCAUGGCCCUUACGACCAGGGCUACACACGUGCUACAAUGGUAGGUACAGAGGGCAGCUACACAGCGAUGUGAUGCGAAUCUCAAAAAGCCUAUCGUAGUCCAGAUUGGAGUCUGCAACUCGACUCCAUGAAGUAGGAAUCGCUAGUAAUCGCGGAUCAGAAUGCCGCGGUGAAUACGUUCCCGGGCCUUGUACACACCGCCCGUCACACCAUGGGAGUUGAUUGCACCAGAAGUGGAUAGCUUAACCUUCGGGGGAGCGUCACCUACG
rnacentral:rRNA from 1 species